GAGCCUCAGUUUCCCCAACUGCAAAGUGAGGGGAUGGUCUAGACAGCCCAUGAGGACUUUCUAUUCCUAGCUCUGUGGUCCCGUGACCUCUCUGAGCUUCGUCUUCCUCAAACGUAAGAUGAUGGGUUGAGAUCCCUUCUAGUUUUAUGACCAGGAUUCGAUGACUUGUGAACUUUUCCCUCCCACUUAUUUGAGUUUAUCUUCCGGAGAGCAGUUUCAUAAGGGUUUUAGGGGGAAGAAAAAAGCAGCAUCUACAGAGGCAGAGAUGAACACUGACCAUGUCAGGAGGCUGGGGAGUAGAAGGAUGUAAGGAGAAAGGAAGGAGAGAUUGUUGCUGUUGAAUCAUGCUUUUUUCAGUCACGUCCAACUCUUUGUGACCCAGUUUGGUGUUUUCUUGGCAGAGAUAUUGGAGUAGUUGGCCACUUCCUUCUCCAGCUCAUUUUACAGAUGAGGAAACUGAGGCAAACGAGGUAAAAUAAUUUCCCCAGGGUCACACAACUAGUAUGUGUCUGUGCCUACAUUUGAACUCAGGGCUUCCUAACUCUAGGGCAGACGCUAAUCAUUUAGAUGCUCUUAUCUGUAGAAUGAAGAUAAUACUAGUUCCUACCUCCCAGGAUUAUUGUGGAUAUCAAAUGAGCGAAUAUUUGUAAAAUGCUUUGCCAGUCUUAAAACCCUGCAUAAAUUAUAUUAAUAAUCCCACUGACAAUAAUAGAGAGCUAUAAUACCUGGGUAAGGGUUCUUAAUCAUCUGUGUGUCACGGACUCCUUUGGCAGGCCGUCUAAAAGCUCACGGACCCCUUGUGGAGAUCAUGUUUUUAAAAAUUUGAAGGAAAUGCUCGAUUUCGGUUAGCGGUUAGUGAAAAGAAAGAUGUAACUUUUUUCAUCCAAGUUUAUGAACUCUUUGGAAUCCAUGAAUCCCUUGCUGGGAAAGGGCUGGGGAGUGGAGGUAGAAGGGGCAGUUACAAACCUCCUUUGAGACAUUGUUGUGAGACUCAAAGAUAAUUUAUAUAUAUAUAAAAAGAUAAUCUAUAAAAUGCUACCUGGCUAUUGUUAUUAAUUACUCUGGUAAUUUAUUCCAUUAGAUUGUAAGCUCCCUGAGGGCAGGAACUGUCUUAUGCCUCUUUUUUCAUCCCCAGCAUUUAGUGCAGUGUCUGGCACAUAGUAGGUGCUUAAUAAAUAUUGGUUGAUGGAUGAUUCACAGGCACAUGCUCUUUCUUUGGGUAGAAUAUAAGCUCCUUGAGGGCAGGAAGUGUUUUAUUUUUAACUUUGCAUCUCCGGCAUCUUGCGCAGUACCUCCUUACCCAAAGGUGCUGAAGAAGUGCUUAUUGAAGGGUUCCUGUGGACAGAAAUUUUAUGACUAGAAAGAAUCUAGAAAACACUGCUAAGAAAAAAAGACCUUAGGAGCAUGGGUGGUGUUUCAGGCCUGCUUGGCAACUCUUCACAAUGUGGCUCCAGCCUCCCUUGUAGGCUUUUUUCAUAUCUCCUCUCCUCCUCCUCCUCCUUCUCUUCAUCCUCCUCCUCUUCUUCCUCCUCCUUCUCCUUCUCUUUGUCCUCCUCCUCUUCCUCCUUCUCCUCCUCACUUAUUAUACAUUCUAACCAAAUGAUUGUGUUUACACACACACACACACACACACACACACACACACACACACACUGAACAGUACAUGUCUAGUCGUUCUAUUUUUGUACAUUCUGUCCAUUAAAGGCUCAGCUCAGCCGCCACCCGCCUUCCACGGGAGACCUUUCAUGGCUGCCCCAUAUGUUAGCACUCCUUCCUGCCAAAUUACUUUCAACACCUUGUGCAUUCGCUUUUGUUUGUGUGAUAUUUCUGCUCCCUGCAGAGCGGCCAUACUUUGGGGGGGGGGGGACGGGACAGAAGAACGUGCUUGGACGUUGGAUUAAGGUGAGGGCUUCAGAAGAGGGAGGCCGACUUAGGAUGCAAAGAGCUGGUUUAGAAGGUGAUGUGUGAAAACAGGAUUUGGAUUUUGGGGAUCGCUGGCUAAAACUUUAGAAAUGUCAGGCUCCUGACAGGCAUGAAACAUACCCAGUAAAGGUCUUGAAGGACACAUUUAGUUUUGAGUCUUGAAGUGCUCAUCAAAAAGAAUUUAAAGUGAAAAGAAAGAAGUGGAUGGGCCCGAUGCUGGAUAUCUACGUGACAGGAAGGAAGGAAGGAAGGAAGGAAGGAAGGAAGGAAGGAAGGAAGGAAGGAAGGAAGGAAGGAAGGAAGGAAGGAAGGAAGGAAGGAAGGAAGAAAAUAUAUAGAUGCCCAACUAGUGCACUGCCAUUAUAUAGGGAAACAAGCCAGUGGAGAUGUAAUCCAGCAGCUGCUCUGCGGGGCAGCUAGGCAGUACAGUGGAAAGAAUGCCCAGCCUGGAGUCGUGUUUGCCUCAGUUUCCUUAUCUAUAAAACAAUCUGGAGAAGGAAAUGGCAGACCUCUCCAGUAUUUCUGCCAAGAAAAUCCCAGAUGGGGUCACGGAGAGACACAGAAUGAAAACGAAUGAGCAACAACGACAGGAAGCAGUCCGUAGCCCCCACCUCCCUCAGAGACCCUAAGUAACCAGUGAAGAUCCAGCAAAGAAAGUUCCCAGCUCUCAAGUCCUUGUUUGACCUGUCAAGUGGUUCAGUGACCAUAAUUGCUCCCUUUUGCUGCGGCUUUACAAGGUUCACUCGUGUUCGCUGUAAUCAUAGGUUUGCUAUCAUGGUACAUGUGUCACCCAGUCCUGUCCCAUUGGUCCAUCCUGGUCACUUGAUUUCUAUAUAAGUGAAUUUCUUUGUCCUCUUCCUGUGAAAGUUGCUACGAUUUAUAGUCCUCAGAAUCUUCCAUUUGUGGUGGCCAUUUGACAUUUAAAAUUCUUCUUCAAGGUGUCAGCUUAGAGAUGACCUUCUUGGAUACAGAAAACCUGGGUUCGAAUCCUGUUCUUUCCAUACAUUCACUCUCUGAUCUGUUGAUGAUCCCCCUCAGGGACCAGACAGCUCUUGUCUCCCCCAUUAGAAUGUAAGCUUCUUGGGGGUAGGAAAUGUUUUACUUUGACAUUCGUAUCUCCAGUAUUUGAAGGGGGAACAUAAGCAUUUAUUGUGCACCUACUCUAUACCUGGCACUAUGGUAAGCACUUUACAAAAUGUGAACCCAUUUGAUCCUUAUAACAAUUUUGUACUUUGACAUACAUAUCUCCAGCGUUUGGGGGGGGGAAACAUAAGCAUUUAUUGUGCACCUACUCUUUACCUGGCACUGUGGUAAGCACUUUACAAAAUAUGAACCCAUUUGAUCCUUACAACAAUUUUGUACUUUGACAUACAUAUCUCCAGCACUUGUGGGGGGGGACAUAAGCAUUUAUUGUGCACCUACUCUAUACCUGGCACUGUGGUAAGCACUUUACAAAUAUGAGCCCAUUUGAUCCUUACAACAACCCUUGUGAGGGAUCCUUACAACAACGGCAUCAGUUGAGAGGAUGCCGAGGCAGGUAUCUCAGCUAAUAAACGCAGGGUCACUCGGCUAAUAAAUGUCUGAGGCUGGAUUUGAAUUCAGGUCUUCCUGAUUCCUGUCUGCUGCUCCAGUUAGUUGCCAUUUAGCUUAAUGACUGGAAUCUCCUAGGUUUGUGGAUUGGUUGAUAUACGUAAGGUGAGAUUGCACUAUUAUAACUACAUGGGGCAUACUUAUUUUGUCUUUAAUGUAUACUUUAACAUAUUUAACAUGUAUCGGUCAUCCUGCCAUCUAGGGGAGGGGGUGGGGGGAAGGAGGGGAAAAAUUGGAACAAAAGGUUUAGCAAUUGUCAAUGCUACAAAAUUACCCACGCAUAUAACUUCUAAAUAAAAAGCUAUUUAAAAAAUAACUCCAUGGGCAGUGGAGAGUACUGGGCCGAAGGAAAAUCUGGCUGCAAAUCUCACCUCAGACACUUUCUAGUUUUAUGAUUCUGGGUAAGUUAACUUAUGCGCCUCGGUUUCCCUAACUGUAAAGGAAGGGAGUUGGUCUUGUUGGUUUUUAAAGUCCUUUUUAAUGUGAAAUCUGUGCUCUUACUGCUGCCAGUUAGCAAGAAAGCCUGUAAGCCGCCACAGCUCCGGCAAAUGAUUUCAACAGUUCCGAUGAACUCCCUUCCAAGGAAUAUAAAGCUCUGGGCCAGAGAAAGUUGCUGUUAUUUAUUCUUUCUCCCCUUUAUGGCUUUGCCUUGGUUGUUUGCCUUUGUCCCAGAAGCAUAAAGGGGAGACAAAAGGCAGUCGUCAUCUGACGUUGUCUAAAGUUUGUGGAAACUUUCCUGUCCUUGUCGCUGGCCCGCAAGAGUCCGGGAGGCUUCAGUAAAACCGAGGGGCCUCUUCUUCUCCCGUCUCCCUCACGCUGGGUUUGGAGGGGAGGCCAGAAAUAGCCCCAAUACGGCCAGAAAUAGCACCAGUCCCAGGUGGGGGCGGGGAGGCCCGACUCCGGCCGUCCAGAAAGGCCAAAAAAUACCCGAGUGGAGCGGUGACCAUCCAUGGCCGUGAGGCCGGCCGCAUUCCUCUUUACUGAGAUCUCUGCAGACCUCAGGCUUCUGCCGUCCAAGCCCAACAGGUGGGCGAGGACGGAGAAAUCCUUGGCCAUAUAGAGGCAGGCCUCCGUUCUUUCCAUGCGCCAGUGGGCCUGCUUGCAGAAGGGCAUUUCUAACGUGAGGCUUUUAUCAAUCGAGCGAAUGCCGGGUUCUCGGUGCUUUCUCUCCGGAUUUUACAAUAGAUGAUGUCAGCGGCUCUUGUCUGUCCAGGUCUGUUCCCACAGUGUAGGCGAGGUUGGGUCCCUUGUGGGCUAGGGGUGGGGGCAGGGGGAAAUCAGGUCAACAGGCUAAUAGCAUAGGCCACCAGGCGCUGGACAUCAAUCUAGAUGGCUGAAACACUCAGAUAGCCGAGCCCAAAAUAGCUUCUCUGAGACAUCAGCUGUUCAAUUGCUCAGACUGGCUUUGAGAGAAAAGCGACCCGCUUGGGGGUUAACUUACCCCAGAUAAACUAAAAAGAGGGCUGGGGAAUUUUUAAAUAUAGAAAAAAGAACUGGAGGGAGUGAUUCGGAAGAAAACAGACCAAUAGGACAGUUUUGAAAGAAACAAGUAGAAUUUGGAAAGAUAACAAAGAAAAAAGGGAAAGAAGGAAGAAAGGAAGGAAGAAAUAAAGGAAGAAACAAGGAAGGGACAAAUGAAAGAAAGAAAAAAGAAAGGAAGAGAGGGAAGGAGGGAGGGAGAAAGAAAAAAAGGAAGGAAAGAAGGAACGAACAAAAAUGAAAGAGAGGAAGGAAGAAACAAAGGAAGGAAAGAAGGGAGGAAGGAACAAAGGAAAGAAAGAAAAAAGAAAGAAAGGAGAGAGGAAAGAAGAGAGGGAGGAAGGAAAGAAAGAAAAAAGAAAGGAAGGGAGGAAGAAAGAAACAAAGGAAGGAAGUUAGGAAGGAACAAAGGAAGGAAGGGAGGAAGAAAGAAACAAAGGAAGGAAGUUAGGAAGGAACAAAGGAAAGAGAAAAGAAAGGAAGGAAGGAAAGAGAAAAGAAAGGAAGGAAAGAAAAAAGGGAGGAAGGGAGGAAGAAAGAAACAAAGGAAGGAAGUUAGGAAAGAACAAAGAAAGGAAGGAAAGAAAAGAAAGGAACAAAAGAAGGAAAGCAAAAAGGAAGAAAGGAAAGAAAAAAGGGACAAAGGGAGGAAAGGAAAAGGAAAGGAGGGAGGAAGAAAGAAGCAAUGAACAAAGGAAUGAAGGAAAAAAGAAAAAGAGGAAAGGAAAAGGAAAGGCUCAGCACUGCGUUAAGCAUGGGGAAAUGAAUAUGAGCAAACUUCCUUGCUUUCCAUCUGAGUAUCCUCAAGGAGUUUAUAUUGAGCUCUAGAAAGACAGCAUCUAAAGGGGAGCUGGGGAGAGGAAGCCAGGCAGCUGAUUUUUUUUUUUAUCCAGCCAAAUAAAGCAAAUGGUAAAUGGAGAUUCACAGUUUCAGCCAGAGUCCCCUUUUUUGGUUGUUUUCUGCAGUGUGUAUACAAACAUUCUUUUUGUGGAUGUUUAAAGUUGAACUUUUUUUUAAGUAGAAAUCUAAUAACAGAACCGUCAGCCCCAGCGUGGAGAAGUUGAGCGUGGGAGGCAGCGGUGUUGCCAUGGCGCAUGAGCAGCCGCUGGGGUGCCCGGGCCCCGGGGAGCCCGCCUAGGGGGUGCGCCCCAGAGCCUUUGGGCUGUGCCGGUACAGGCCCCUUGGCUCUCCUCGCAGCCCCCCGGCCCCACCCUCACAAGGAGCCCACCUUUGCUCAGGCGUAUUUCUGCCUCCUUUGGCGGGUGGCUCUCAGAAGCUGAGCAGAGCUGCUCUUGCUUGGCUCCCGGGGACCAACGUGGCUCCCAGGGACCAACGUGGCUCCCAGGAUGCUUUUCAUGGGCAUCCUCAGCAUCAGAGAAAGUUAGGAAGGAACAAAGAAAGGAAAGAGAAAAGAAAGGAAGGAAAGAAAAAAGAUGUUAGCAUCCUUCAGCUAAGGUUACGGGCUUUGAAUGGCUAAAAUUAAGGUGCUUUCACAUCCAUCUAUUGGGCUCGGGCAGAACCGCCCUCCCACCCUCCUCCUUCCUUGAUGCUGACUGUUCUCAAUGUUGCUCCUUCAUCUCCUUAGAACUGCACGGGGCUGCUCUAAAAUAGCAUCUGGAUGAUUUUAGCCAGUGGAGUCGGAACUGAAGGGGGGGCAAGUGAUUCUGCUCCCCCCCACUUGGCCCAUUUGAAGAGAUGGGGGGGCUGCCUUCCUUCCUGCUGGGCUGGGUUCUAGGCUGGGUUCUAGGCUGAGCAAUGCCAGGGACUGCAGGAGCAGGAGCUUGUUUAUAUUCAGUUAACAGCUGCCCAUGAGGGUCAGGGGAGGACUGAGGGAAUAUAGGAAGGUUAAAGGUCCCCAGGCGUGAGAGGGGCUGGGAAAUAGCCAGCUCCCCUUGCUUAGCCUUGGCUCCGGCAGAAAUGUAAGGUACUGUUCUCUCCUGGGAAUCAUUGAAAGCAUUUGGACCAAGUUAAUAGUGGUGUUCAUGGACUAAAUAUUGUUGACACGUUGGAGAGGAUUCAGAUGGAAAAAAGAGAUUAUAUAUGACAUACAUAUCUAUGAUAUAGAUAUAGAUAUAAACUGAAUCUACCCAGCUUGCCCAAACAUUUUUAAAUGAAGCUUUGUUUCUUUUAAUAAUCUACAGAUCUCACUGCACAAGCCUACUUCCUUCCCUGCACCAUUUUGUUGACUUGUCAUCCAAGGGAGUGGACUGAGCUUAGGGUUUGUGUCCCCUGCUUACAGCCAUGCUGAGAAAAGAUGUAAGGAUCACAAUAGAGAUUAAAACCCCCCUCCAAGGGGCAGCUAGAUGGCACAGUGGCUAGAGCACCAGCCCUGAGGGGUCUUUAUCCUGUGGCCCCUAAAAUUUGGUGCGGUCUUUUGUGUUGCCUGAUCUGCAGGAUGCUCCAUUGAAUGGAUGGGUUCCAUUGGAUGGAUGGGUUCCAUUGGAUGGAUGGGUUCCAUUGGAUGGAUGGGUUCCAUUGAACGGAUGGCCACUCAGGUCCCUUCUGGCUCUGAUUUUAGGGUCCCAGGUAUCUUUGAGACUUUCUUUCUUGGAUGUUCUUAGCUCUGUGGGACUGUUCUGCCUUCAGCAGUGACCAAUAUGGAAAUGAACGUUUCACGGUCAUCCCAACGGCAGCACAUUUUCUCUGGUUGUUUUAUUUCCAUUACUCUGGGUUUCAGUGACUUGAGUUUCUGAGCCGCUUGUCAACAUUUUAUUUGGAAAAGGGAUGUCUGUAGGGUGUACUUUUCCUUCUAGGUACUUGGGGCAGGGAAGGAGUCCUGCAGGCGGGCCCCUCUCUGGGUUCCCAAGACUACCCGAGCCUGGGAGGGCAGGAGGCAGGAGCUGGAAAGCGGCUCAGCCUCCUAUCAGCCUCCUAAUGUGUUCUCACCAAUCCUGCAUUGCUCAGUCUUUCAUUGAGCGAUCAGUCUUUCCUAUAGUUCCUUGGCAGCUCUUGAAAAUGAUGUGUUUGUGCCAGUGAGCUGCCCAGAUUGCCUGCAGUGGUAGGAAUUGUGGGGGCACAGAAAGAACACAGCCUGGGAGUCUGACUGGCAGUACAGAGCCUUCAAAUUCAGAUGGAAAAAAACUAAAAUCAAACUCUCUGCAGAAUAUGUAAUCUACAUUCACGAAAGAGUUGGAAGCAGCCCAAUCUAAUGAUAGUAAUAAUAACGAUAGCAAUAAUAACUAGCACUUAUAGAGCACUUAAGGUUUGCAAAAUGCUUUAUAAGUAUUAUCUCAUUUGAUCCUCAAAACAACCUGGAGGCAGAGAUUCCAAACAUGGCUCCCAUGUGAGGACCUUCUGCCCACUGGAUCCUCUGUCCAGUGCCCUCCUUAUCUCUACCUUCGCCUAUACUUUAACUUUGCUUAUCCAAUAAUAGACCUCUUUUAUCAAAAAAAAAAAAAAAAAAAAAAAACAACCUGGAAAGAUAGAUGCCAUUAUUAUCUCCAUUUUACAGAGGAGGAAACCGAGGCAAACAAGAGUAAGUGACUUGACAUAUUUAACAUGUAUUGGUCAACCUGCCAUCUGGGGGAGGGGGUGGGAGGAAGGAGGGAAAAGUUGGAACAAAAGGUCUUACAAUUGUCAAUGCUGAAAAUUUUAGCUUUUUAUUUACAAGAUAUAUGCAUAAAAAAAAGUCAAAAAAAAAUACCAAAAGCUAAUUUCUAAAAGAAAAAAAAAAAGAGUAAGUGACUUGACCAGAGUCAUCCAGUAAGUGCCUAAGGUGCCCUUAUAUGGUAUUGGUGGAGCUGGGAAUUGAUUCAGCCAUUCUGCAAAUUAAUUUGCAGUGCUGUUCUCCAGGUGACCAAAUACUCAGCUCUGCCCCAGGACAGGUAAAAAGAAAAAGGAAAAUAAAAAUAUUUAUGGCACCUCCUUUUAUAGUAGCAAAAAAAUCCCUAGAAAUUAAAGAAAGGUUCUUUUAUUGGGGCAAAUGACUAAAUUCUAAUAUGUGACUAUAAUGGAAUAAGUCCUGUCGCGCCCUAGGAAAUGAUGAAAUGGACAAUUUGAAUGAAGCAGCUGGUGAGAUGGAAGGGGGGCACAGAGGAUAAUGCGCUGGGUUUAGAGCUGCGUUUAAAAAUGGUAUCAGAUGAUUAGUGAAAAAACUAACUUGACCUUGAGCAAGUCACUUAAUUCUAUUUGUAAAAUAGAAUUAAUAAAACCACCCACAUCUCAGGGUUGUUGCGAGGAUCAAGUGAGAUCGUAUUUGUGAAGUUCUUAGCGCAGUGCCUGCCACACGGGAGACUUUUUAUAAAUGCUGAUUCCCUCUCUACCCUCUCAGAGAAAACUCGGAAGAACUUUAUGAACUGAUGCAGAGGGACACGAGCGGAAGGAGAACAUUUCUACAUGACAAUCACAUCAGAAAGAAAAUUUUUGAAAGAUCUUGGGACUUUGAUCAGGGCAGUACAUUCAGACGACUGACGAUGGGGGAGGCGACAGAUUUAAAAUAUAGAAUCAGAUGUAUAUAUUUGGACGUAGCAGCACACGUGAGAAUUUGUUUUGCUUGGACUAUUUUGUGAUGGGACUUUUGGUUUUCUUUCUUUUUUUUUUCCUUGUUAAAUUGAGGUGGGACAAUGGAAGAGAGAGAAUAAAUUCUUGUCUAAAUAAAACAUAUUCUUUUUAAAGGACUCUAAGUCACAAAGAAGAAGCUGACUUGUUUUGGUAAAGGGAAUUUAUCUGGAAUUAUCCUUUACCAAUGAAAUCACAGAUGGGCCCCUUACCUCUAGCCCUGUCCCGACCCAUUUAGCAUGUGCUGGGCAUCUCAGUCCUUACCCAGGCCAGUCCUUGGAAAGCGAAUUCAGGCUCCCGGGCUCGUGCUGACAAACCCACUGUGGCCCUGUAGGACUGGCCAGGGCUUCAGUUCCCAUGUCAGUCACCCCUCCGUCACCAGAGAACUGUCAUGGAGAAAACGGUUCAUGACUAAAAUGCACAGAUAAUUAGAUGCGUUUAGACCUAUUUUAGCUUUUGCUGAUGUAGGUUGUCCUGGAAGUACGUAGUCGCUCUUGGUUAAUAUUAGCCAGAGGUGUCCUGCUUGUUGCUUAUGCAGCAUUCCAGUUUUAAGGAGUGGGUAAUAAGAGAGGUAUCAGGGAGCAGCGGCCUGAGGAUUCAGGUUCAAAUGUGCCUUCCACCAUUUAUGUUCGCUGGAAGACUCCCUUUCUGUAGUGCCAUCGUUAGCCAAGAGGGCAAUUGAGCUUGGACAUUUGGAGAGGAAAUGCUUUUUGUAUAUUUUGUUCAGGAACACAGAUAGGGGGAGAGAAGUGAGAGAGGGAGGGAGGGAGAGAGGAAGGAAGGAAAGAAAGAGAAAGAAAGAAGGAAAGAGAGAGAGAGAAAGGGAGAAAAGAAGGAAGGAAAGAAAGAAAGAGAGAAAGAAAGAAAGAAAAAAGAGAGAGAAAGAAAGUAAGAAAGAAAGAAAGAAAGGAAAAAGAGAGAGAAAGAAAGAAAGAAAGAAAGGAAAAAGAGAGAAAGAAAGAAAGAGAAAGGAAGCAGGGAAAGAGGAAGGGAGAAAGAAAGAAGGAGAAAAGAAGAAAGAGAGAGAGAAAGAAAGGGAGAAGGAAAGGGA